AUUGAACGCUGGCGGCAGGCCUAACACAUGCAAGUCGAGCGGAUGACGGGAGCUUGCUCCUUGAUUCAGCGGCGGACGGGUGAGUAAUGCCUAGGAAUCUGCCUGGUAGUGGGGGACAACGUUUCGAAAGGAACGCUAAUAACGCAUACGUCCUACGGGAGAAAGCAGGGGACCUUCGGGCCUUGCGCUAUCAGAUGAGCCUAGGUCGGAUUAGUUAGUUGGUGGGGUAAGGGCUCACCAAGGCGACGAUCCGUAACUGGUCUGAGAGGAUGAUCAGUCACACUGAAACUGAGACACGGUCCAGACUCCUACGGGAGGCAGCAGUGGGGAAUAUUGGACAAUGGGCGAAAGCCUGAUCCAGCCAUGCCGCGUGUGUGAAGAAGGUCUUCGGAUUGUAAAGCACUUUAAGUUGGGAGGAAGGGCAGUAAGCUAAUACCUUGCUGUUUUGACGUUACCGACAGAAUAAGCACCGGCUAACUCUGUGCCAGCCGCCGCCGUAA
rnacentral:rRNA from 1 species